rnacentral:rRNA from 1 species
GAUUGAACGCUGGCGGCAUGCCUUACACAUGCAAGUCGAACGCGAAAGGGGGGCAACCCCCGAGUAGAGUGGCGAACGGGUGAGUAAUACAUCGGAACGUACCCAGUAGCGGGGGAUAACCUCUCGAAAGAGAGGCUAAUACCGCAUACGACCUGAGGGUGAAAGGAGGGGGAUCGCAAGACCUCUCACUAUUGGAGCGGCCGAUGUCGGAUUAGCUAGUUGGUGGGGUAACGGCCCACCAAGGCUACGAUCCGUAGCU